rnacentral:rRNA from 1 species
AUGUCUUGUAAUUGGAAUGAUGGGAAUUUAAACCUCUUCCAGAGUAUCAAUUGGAGGGCAAGUCUGGUGCCAGCAGCCGCGGUAAUUCCAGCUCCAAUAGCGUAUAUUAAAUUUGUUGCAGUUAAAAAGCUCGUAGUUGAAUUUCUGCUGCAUUACAUUUCUCUUGUUUGAGUUUGUUAUUGUGGCUUAUUUCGGAUUGAUUUUUAUCAUUCCGGAUGAUUACUUUGAGAAAAUUAGAGUGCUCAAAGCAGGCUUUUGCCUUGAAUAGUUUAGCAUGGAAUAAUAGAGUAGGACUUUGGUUCUAUUUUGUUGGUUUUAGGUACCAAAGUAAUGGUUAAUAGGAACAGUUGGGGGCAUUCGUAUUUAACUGUCAGAGGUGAAAUUCUUAGAUUUGUUAAAGACGAACUACUGCGAAAGCAUUUGCCAAGGAUGUUUUCAUUAAUC